rnacentral:rRNA from 1 species
CCUACGGGCGGCUGCAGUGGGGAAUAUUGGGCAAUGGGCGCAAGCCUGACCCAGCAACGCCGCGUGAAGGAAGAAGGCUUUCGGGUUGUAACCUUCUUUUCUCAGGGACGAAGCAAGUGACGGUACCUGAGGAAUAAGCCACGGCUAACUACGUGCCAGCAGCCGCGGUAAUACGUAGGUGGCAAGCGUUAUCCGGAUGUACUGGGUGUAAAGGGCGAGUAGGCGGGAAAGCAAGUCAGAUGUGAAAACCAUGGGCUCAACCUGUGGCCUGCAUGUGAAACUGUUUUUCUUGAGUACUGGAGAGGCAGACGGAAGUCCUAGUGUAGCGGUGAAAUGCGUAGAUAUUAGGAGGAACACCAGUGGCGAAGGCGGUCUGCUGGACAGCAACUGACGCUGAGGCGCGAAAGCGUGGGGAGCAAACAGGAUUAGAUACCCGGGUAGUC